rnacentral:rRNA from 2 species
GACUCUCGGCAACGGAUAUCUCGGCUCCCGCAUCGAUGAAGAACGUAGCAAAAUGCGAUACUUGGUGUGAAUUGCAGAAUCCCGUGAACCAUCGAGUCUUUGAACGCAAGUUGCGCCCGAAGCCAUCCGGCCUAGGGCACGCCUGCCUGGGCGUCACGCCUAG